GUGGGGAAUCUUGCGCAAUGGGCGAAAGCCUGACGCAGCCAUGCCGCGUGAAUGAUGAAGGUCUUAGGAUUGUAAAAUUCUUUCACCGGGGACGAUAAUGACGGUACCCGGAGAAGAAGCUCCGGCUAACUUCGUGCCAGCAGCCGCGGUAAUACGAAGGGGGCUAGCGUUGCUCGGAAUUACUGGGCGUAAAGGGCGCGUAGGCGGACAGCUUAGUCAGAGGUUAAAGCCCAGGGCUCAACCUUGGAAUUGCCUUUGAUACUGGCUGUCUUGAGUUUGGGAGAGGUGAGUGGAACUCCGAGUGUAGAGGUGAAAUUCGUAGAUAUUCGGAAGAACACCAGUGGCGAAGGCGACUCACUGGCCCAAUACUGACGCUGAGGCGCGAAAGCGUGGGGAGCAAACAGGAUUAGAAACCCGUGUAGUCC
rnacentral:rRNA from 1 species